AGUGGGGAAUCUUGGACAAUGGGGGAAACCCUGAUCCAGCCAUGCCGCGUGAGUGAUGAAGGCCCUAGGGUUGUAAAGCUCUUUCACCGGUGAAGAUAAUGACGGUAGCCGGAGAAGAAGCCCCGGCUAACUCCGUGCCAGCAGCCGCGGUAAUACGGAGGGGGCUAGCGUUGUUCGGAAUUACUGGGCGUAAAGCGCGCGUAGGCGGCUUGCCAAGUUGGGGGUGAAAUCCCAGGGCUCAACCCUGGAACUGCCUUCAAAACUGACAAGCUCGAGGCCGGAAGAGGUGAGUGGAAUUCCCAGUGUAGAGGUGAAAUUCGUAGAUAUUGGGAAGAACACCAGUGGCGAAGGCGGCUCACUGGUCCGGUUCUGACGCUGAGGCGCGAAAGCGUGGGGAGCAAACAGGAUUAGAUACCCUGGUAGUCCACGCCGUAAACUAUGAGAGCUAGUUGUCGGGCAGCAUGCUGUUCAGUGACGCAGCUAACGCAUUAAGCUCUCCGCCUGGGGAGUACGGUCGCAAGAUU
rnacentral:rRNA from 1 species